CUUGCUUCCCAGUAGCCUCUGCCAAUGGGAGACACUGGUGGGAGCUUGGAAGGAGGGUAGAAGGGAGAAAGAAGCUGAUUUUAUUUCUCCUUCUGUUGAAGUCUCUGGCAGUGGCAGCAGUAGCAGCAGUGGCAGCAGCUGCGGCAAUAGCAGUAGCAGCGGCAGUAGGUGACUGAGUUUCUGCUCAGGUGGAGUUUCAACAGCAGUGGGGGCAGGGAGUGCUCUCGCAGCCUCUGCAGCAGGGCGUUCCUGGGCUCUGGAUCUGGCAGCAUCAGUGUCCGUGACAGGCAGCCCUUGGUGGGAGUUUAAUUUCUCGGCUUCCUGAAAGAUUUCCAAUAACGGCCGUGGAGCAGCAAGUAUCACAGCAGCUUCAGCCACCGAGCAAUCACCGACUCUUUGUGGAUCACACCAUAUUUCCUUUUGUUCAGCCAGCCUUAGGACGGGUAGUUUCCGUUCUGCUGACUGGACACUGUCCAGUAUACACGUUUAUAAGGCCCUGAAAGCAGCAGAUCUCACCUGCAUUGGAGGAUGAGACGCCACAUGAAGAAGAAAGAAGACGCCACAGACAGCAGCGCAGUACCACCUUCCAGAGAUGUCCUAAAAACAUCCUGAGUUUCUUUGGCCUGCCAGAAAGUCACCUUCCUGACUCACCUGUAAGGCUGGGAACUCCAUAAUCCAGGUACCAGGCAGACUUUCCGGGAGGGCUUCAUAUGCAUUGGCUCCAUAAAGUUAACCUUAGUUCCUCAAAACUGUCUGUUCAUAUGUGAUUUUAUGUCUUAUUCUCAGUUGGAAAUGCAGAAAUCACCUGUCUUCUGCGUCGAUCAGGCUGGGAGCUGCAGACCGGAGCUGUUCCUAUUCGGCCAUCUUGGAAUGGACCCCCAUGUCUUAUUCUCAAAUAAAACAUUUUGGUCAAAGCCUUGAUUAUCUAAUCAAUUUUUAAAAUUAUGUUCUGUUACAAAAAGGACAGAUUCUUAUCGAACCCAUAUAAAAUAGUAUAUCACCAUUGAUACGGUUUGGAUCUGUGUCCCCACUCAAAUCUGAUGUUCAAUUGUAAUCUCCCAGUGUUAGAGGUGAG
rnacentral:lncRNA from 10 species